CAGCAUACGAACAUCACAGACACAAAGCGAGUGUUAGGUUCACAAGGCCCCGGCAUAACACAUUACACGAGAGGGACACAGCAUACAAACAUCACAGACAGACUACACGUGCUUGUGAAAGGAGAUGUUGUUUCCGAUGGCUGACAAUACUUCAACUUCAAGAUGAAUAACUGGUCGUACUUCUGCUGGAUAAUUCCGCAAUGGCUACUCACACUUGCCAGUGUGAUAUGGAGAAAACUAAUAUCUGCAUUUGUAGACUGCCUGAAGAUCCCUCCCAGACACUGCCUAAAAACUACUCUGAAUUCAUCACUGUGAACAUUGCCAUCCUGGACAUUUCACGCUAGAAUUGAUUCACACUAAUGGAG